rnacentral:rRNA from 1 species
GUGGGGAAUCUUCCGCAAUGGACGAAAGUCUGACGGAGCAACGCCGCGUGAACGAUGACGGCCUUCGGGUUGUAAAGUUCUGUUAUACGGGACGAAUGGUACGACGGCCAAUACCCGUCGUAAGUGACGGUACCGUAAGAGAAAGCCACGGCUAACUACGUGCCAGCAGCCGCGGUAAUACGUAGGUGGCAAGCGUUGUCCGGAAUUAUUGGGCGUAAAGGGCGCGCAGGCGGCGUCGUAAGUCGGUCUGAAAAGUGCGGGGCUUAACCCCGUGAGGGGACCGAAACGGCGAUGCUAGAGUAUCGGAGAGGAAAGCGGAAUUCCUAGUGUAGCGGUGAAAUGCGUAGAUAUUAGGAGGAACACCAGUGGCGAAAGCGGCUUUCUGGACGACAACUGACGCUGAGGCGCGAAAGCCAGGGGAGCAAACGGGAUUAGAAACCCGAGUAGUCC